CAAGUCGAACGAACUCUGGUAUUGAUUGGUGCUUGCAUCAUGAUUUACAUUUGAGUGAGUGGCGAACUGGUGAGUAACACGUGGGAAACCUGCCCAGAAGCGGGGGAUAACACCUGGAAACAGAUGCUAAUACCGCAUAACAACUUGGACCGCAUGGUCCGAGUUUGAAAGAUGGCUUCGGCUAUCACUUUUGGAUGGUCCCGCGGCGUAUUAGCUAGAUGGUGGGGUAACGGCUCACCAUGGCAAUGAUACGUAGCCGACCUGAGAGGGUAAUCGGCCACAUUGGGACUGAGACACGGCCCAAACUCCUACGGGAGGCAGCAGUAGGGAAUCUUCCACAAUGGACGAAAGUCUGAUGGAGCAACGCCGCGUGAGUGAAGAAGGGUUUCGGCUCGUAAAACUCUGUUGUUAAAGAAGAACAUAUCUGAGAGUAACUGUUCAGGUAUUGACGGUAUUUAACCAGAAAGCCACGGCUAACUACGUGCCAGCAGCCGCGGUAAUACGUAGGUGGCAAGCGUUGUCCGGAUUUAUUGGGCGUAAAGCGAGCGCAGGCGGUUUUUUAAGUCUGAUGUGAAAGCCUUCGGCUCAACCGAAGAAGUGCAUCGGAAACUGGGAAACUUGAGUGCAGAAUAGGACAGUGGAACUCCAUGUGUAUCGGUGAAAUGCGUAGAUAUAUGGAAGAACACCAGUGGCGAAGGCGGCUGUCUGGUCUGUAACUGACGCUGAGGCUCGAAAGUAUGGGUAGCAAACAGGAUUACAUACCCUGGUAGUCCAUACCGUAAACGAUGAAUGCUAAGUGUUGGAGGGUUUCCGCCCUUCAGUGCUGCAGCUAACGCAUAAU
rnacentral:rRNA from 1 species